rnacentral:misc_RNA from 1 species
GAAAUGCGAUAAGUAGUGUGAAUUGCAGAAUUCCGUGAAUCAUCGAAUCUUUGAACGCACAUUGCGCCCUUUGGUAUUCCAUAGGGCAUGCCUAUUCGAGCGUCAUUUUACCCUUCAAGCUUUGCUUGGUGUUGGGCGUCUGUUCUACUAUGUGUAAACUCGCCUUAAAAUAAUUGGCAGCUAGUAUGUUAGCUUUAAGCGCAGCAGAAUUGCGUCUUUAGAAAUAGCAAACUAGUAUCCAAAAGCAAUUUUAUAAUCUUGACCUCGGAUUAGGUAGGGAUACCCGCUGAACUUAA